UACGAAGGGGGCUAGCGUUGCUCGGAAUCACUGGGCGUAAAGCGCACGUAGGCGGACUCUUAAGUCGGUGGUGAAAUCCUGGAGCUCAACUCCAGAACUGCCUUCGAUACUGGGAGUCUUGAGUCCGAGAGAGGUGAGUGGAACUGCGAGUGUAGAGGUGAAAUUCGUAGAUAUUCGCAAGAACACCAGUGGCGAAGGCGGCUCACUGGCUCGGUACUGACGCUGAGGUGCGAAAGCGUGGGAGCAAACAGG
rnacentral:rRNA from 1 species